rnacentral:rRNA from 1 species
CCUACGGGAGGCAGCAGUGAGGAAUAUUGGUCAAUGGACGAGAGUCUGAACCAGCCAAGUAGCGUGAAGGAUGACUGCCCUAUGGGUUGUAAACUUCUUUUAUAUGGGAAUAAAAUGUUCCAAGUGUGGGAUUUUGUAUGUACCAUAUGAAUAAGGAUCGGCUAACUCCGUGCCAGCAGCCGCGGUAAUACGGAGGAUCCGAGCGUUAUCCGGAUUUAUUGGGGUUAAAGGGAGCGUAGGUGGAUUGUUAAGUCAGUUGUGAAAGUUUGCGGCUCAACCGUAAAAUUGCAGUUGAAACUGGCAGUCUUGAGUACAGUAGAGGUGGGCGGAAUUCGUGGUGUAGCGGUGAAAUGCUUAGAUAUCACGAAGAACUCCGAUUGCGAAGGCAGUUCACUGGACUGCAACUGACACUGAGGCUCGAAAGUGUGGGUAUCAAACAGGAUUAGAGACCCGAGUAGUC